UACGUAGGGGGCAAGCGUUGUCCGGAAUCAUUGGGCGUAAAGAGCGUGUAGGCGGCCCGAUAAGUCCGCUGUGAAAGUCCAGGGCUCAACCCUGGAAUGCCAGUGGAAACUGUCGGGCUAGAGUCCGGAAGAGGCGAGUGGAAUUCCUGGUGUAGCGGUGAAAUGCGCAGAUAUCAGGAGGAACACCGGUGGCGAAGGCGACUCUUUGGUCUGUAACUGACGCUGAGGCGCGAAAGCGUGGGGAGCAAACAGG
rnacentral:rRNA from 1 species